rnacentral:rRNA from 1 species
CGCGUAGGCGGACAUUUAAGUCAGGGGUGAAAUCCCGGGGCUCAACCCCGGAACUGCCCUUGAUACUGGGUGUCUUGAGUUCGAGAGGGGUGAGUGGAAUUCCGAGUGUAGAGGUGAAAUUCGUAGAUAUUCGGAGGAACACCAGUGGCGAAGGCGGCUCACUGGCUCGAUACUGACGCUGAGGUGCGAAAGUGUGGGGAGCAAACA